UCGGGAAGGUUACCUUCUACUAGUCUCCGUUUAAGAAAAAAAAAACAAGAAGAAGGAGAAGAAAGAAGAACAGAGUCGCCUCGCCGGCGCGUCCACCGCCGGGAUCCGCAGCGCCAGCCAUACUCGCCAUCACCACCGCGCCCUGAUCUGGUCGCUGCCGCCCACCGGUACCGGUAGGGUGGGAGGCGCAUGACGCAUAACAUGAGCUCGCCGCCUGCUAUCCGCCGGAAUCGGUCUUUCUCCUCCUUUGGCUUUCAAGCAUGCUUCUGCAAUUGAGGCAACACCAUCAAUUUCCUCCUGGCCUGCUUCUUCCAUGACUUGCGGAUCCAUGAUUUCACCAUCUUGUAUGUAUGGGUUUCCUUCAAAGCCUCGAGAGCACUUGCACCGAUAGCCAAACUGCGGAUCAAUACCACCGCUUGAGUUUCGCAGUCCUCUUUCCUGGUUAAGUUGGCAAUAGCCCACCACAUGGUCCACAUCUUCACUUGGUAUUCUUCAGAAAGAGAGAAAAGAUCAUCGAGAGGUUCAUUUGGGAAAAUUGUUGAUACCUCCAUAUUGGUGUGAGUUGUCUCCUUUUGUUCCGCGGUUCUGACAUUCACAUACCCUUCAUUUACUGAAAUGCUGUCCACGACAUAUUGUAUCCCUCGAUCAAGAACAGCAAGGUUUUCUGAUGUACAGUUCACUCGAAACUCUUGAAGAGCAUAACAACCUUCUUCAAUCCCAAAAGGAAAGGGAAUGCUGGUGUUCCCACAUGUUUUCUCACAACUUCCUCUUGGUUUUGGGUUGUAAUCUUUCACCGGGUAGAUUGACAUUAGAUAGAAGGAAGGUUAGGUGCAUGGGAGUUAAAAAAUAGAAUUUGAGUGGAUAAAAUUAGUGUGUGUACUGCUUGUUGUAAACCAAUCCUAUGGGGUGGACCAUGGGCAUUUGCUAAUUAAAUGACCCAAUAAUUAAAAAAGAAGACUUAUUAGCAUGCUACAGCCUACAUGAAGUAAAGUAAAAAAAACGGACUCUUGGUAUAUCAAUGUUGGGGAAAAUAAUUCAAAUACAUAAAGUAAAAAAAAACAAUGGGCUGUCCCCAUCGAUUUCUAUUAGAGAAACUGCCAAAACACGGUGUCUGCAAACAGAGUCUUAAACGGUAAUAUCAGUAAAGAUCACAGGUAAUCAGCUUGGAAAAAACAUCAGCCAGCAGAACAACAGAAAUAAAGCUUGUAAGCGCAGGCAACUAUGUAUUUUUCAUUAUUCUUUUACAUAUCAUGUACUUGGAAGUGCAAAAGGCACUUUGUGUUCUCUCUUCCACAGGAGACAAAUUUAUACUGAAAAUUUGAAUCAAAAAGAUGUGUGAGGCUCUGCGGGUAGAUUUCAUAUUGCCUUUGCACA